GAAAAUCGAACUGGCCUUGUGGGGUGACAUCCGC
rnacentral:sRNA from 1 species